rnacentral:snRNA from 1 species
AUACUUACCUGGCAGGGGAGAUACCAUGAUCAUGAAUGCAGUUUUCCCAAAGUAGAGCUUAUCCAUUGUAUUCCAGAUGUGCUGACUCCUGAGAUUUCCCCAAAUGUGGGAAACUUGGCUGCAUAGUGGUAGACUGCACUUACACUCUCCCC